AUAUCAAAGGCCCCUGCCUACCCUCCUGCCUUAUGGUACUGUGAGAUCAUUCUGCCCACACAAUGUGAAAUCUGGCAUCCCAAAAUGUGGCUUUUACAGAAAUGAGGAACGUUUCUCAGGCCAAAAACCCAAGAGUCGUUUGAUUCCUGUCUUUCACCUACAGAGCAACGUUAUGAAUCUUCCUUCAAGGCGCAUCUGGAUCAUCAGAUCCUUUAGCACUUGCACUGCCACCUUUCUCCACCCAAAGCCAGAGUCCUGCCAAUGGCCUACAAGGCCCAUGUGGAGAAUGUAGGCUUCAAAAGAGCAAGAGCUAAUUGGCCAUCCCAGGAAGAGAAAGUUCUUUAAGGGAAUUCCAGAAAGCUGACAAAUGCCCCUUCACUGCCUUUCAGGUGCUUACCACAAAACUGGUAAGUCCUGCAGAGACAGAUGAGGAGGCUGCCAUUUCACAGAAGCCGGUGAUUACACUGUGUGUUUAUGAGACUCCCCAGGGACCAGGGUGGCAAGUGAAUGCACACAGGCAUGAGUUUGUUUGUGUUUAUGUGCUUUUCCAUAAACUGGCUCUAUAUACACAUCAGUCUCUCUCCCUUUAUCAGAUUCUUUUCUCCUUUCUCCUUGUCUGACUUUUUCCUUUUGAUUUGUAUCCUCUCUGACCC